ensembl:lncRNA
UAGAAAUACAAUUAAUUUUACAUUGAUUUUUAAGGAGUAACAAGAUUUUAUUUUCAUUUUAAUAACUGAUAUUUAGAUUCGUUUGACACACACAACCACAAUCUGCAGAAGAGUUGUUUCUUCCUUUCCAUCUUUGUUGUUUAUAUUCUUUCUCUGAUUCUGCUGUCCAGGAUCUUCUGUACAGCGUAGAAUAGAAGCAGUGAGAGUUGGCAUUCCUUGUCUUGUUUCUGACUUUAAAGCAAAGGCUUUUAAAUGUCUCACCAUUGAAUAUGUGUGCUCUACGUUUUUUGGUAGAUAUUCUUCAUCAAUCUGAAGAAAUUCCCUUUUCUUCUUAGAUUGCCAACUAUGAAUGUUGUUAUGGGCUGAAGUGCUCCCACCUCCAAAUUCGUAUGUUCAAGCCUUAACUCCCAGUACUUCAGAAAGUAGUUGUAUAUGGAGACAGGGCCUUUAAAGAGGUGAUUAAGUUAAAAUGAGGUCGUUAGGGGAGGUCCUAAGCCAAUCUGACUGGAGCUGGAGCCCUUAUAAGGAGAGGAGAUUAGGAUGCAGAGAGAGCUAGGGACAUCACGGGCGGAACGGGGAGGAACGACCACGUGAGGACACAGGGAGGAGGCAGCUGUCUGUAGGCUAAGGAGAGAGGCCUCAGAAGAAACCAACUCUGCAAUAGUUUUAAGGUGUUAUUUCUUAAUAAAUCUUUUGCACUCCCAACUCCCUCUCAGCAUUUGCUUCCUGGAGAACCCAACCUGCCACAACAGGAAACAUUUAGAUCCUACAAAGUCAGCUGGGAAGAGAAGGAAUUCAGAAAAAAGAAUGAAACACUGAAAACUGUAUAUCAAAUAAGAAGAAUGAUGUGGAUUGUCGACUGGGAGACUAUAAAACCCAUCACUGAGCUCUUCAGGUCACAGAAGAGGGAGCCAGAAAGGGAUUAGAUUACAGAAGAGGAGAAGGCAGUGCGCCUACAGAGACUGGAGUGAUGUGGCCACAAGCCAAGGAAUGCAGACAGUGACCAGAAGCUGGAAAAGACAAGGAUCUCUCCCUUGGGACCUCCAGAGGGAACCAGGCCUGCCAACCCCUUGAUUUUAGCCCCAUAAGAUUCAGGACUUCUGGCUUGCAGAACUGUAAGAGAAUAAAUUUGUGUUGUUUUAAGUCAUUAAAUUUGUGGUAAUUUGUUACAGUGGCAAUAGGAAGCUAAUACAAUCAGCAAUGCAGGACUGUGUCCACGAGAUUAAAUGAUGCUGGGGAGGUAUUAAGAGGGAUUUACACAGCUUCUUGAUAUUUGAUGCUUGAAUAGUAGUUGCUUGUGAGGUCUAGUUAACGUUUUCCUGCUAUAAUUAUUUACUACUUUAAGUGCUGUUUCUUGAUUUUAAAUGCCUUAUCUUGCUUUAAUAUUCUAAGACCCAGCAAACCCUUUUUGGAAGAGGUGAGUUAUCUUCUUAUGGUAAAUCCUUGCUCCCCCAACCUCAUUCUGACUUUUGCUAUACAUGAAUCAAGUUCUGUUACCAGCUUCCUGGCGAGCUUCAUCUUCUAGGACAUAGUGAUACUUUGUUUAGCUUUAGGAAGCAGAGAAGGCGGGUAAAUCAGAGGUGAGGAGUCAAGGCA